UGUUUACCCACAAUUGACAAAGCUGAACAGUCUUGUCACUUUAUUGGUUUUAAAUAAUUUUAAUCGCCUCUUUCUUUCUUACAAAUUAAGUAAUAUUUUAAUGGUUCACAGAUUGCACAGCUAUAAGACCAAGUGGAGUAAAUAUCUUUAAAUUUCUGCUCAAGUUUAUGUUGAACAUUCUGUCUUUGCCCCACUCAAAUGCCGCAUGCGAGUGUCUAUUCAGUCAAGUAAGCGACGUUAAAACAAAGCAAAGAAGCCAACUGAUUACGAAGACUAUAAAGGGAAACAUUUUGGUUCGACAGUCUAUUGACCAACAUACAAAUUGAGUUAAUAUCGCAUCACGCACCAACGGAAGAUAUGAUUUAAAAAAUGAUUUCCUCUAUGCAUGACCAAGAAAACGGUUAACGGUUAACCAUCAUUAUUAUUCGUAUAAACCUAAAGAAACAUAACUCAAAAACUAAAACAAUUUAAGUUUCAUGCCCCCACCGCAAAAAGUCUAAACUUGCCUAAAUUCACAGUAGGUUUUGCGAAGAAUUGUUCGAAGAGAAGAAGAGAGAAUUGUUCGCCGGAUUGGAAUUAUUUUGUGGUCAAGAAAGUUCUGAAUGUAAUAAAAAUUAAACCAUG